GAGGGUAUAGCUCAGUGAUAGAGUCCAUGCCUACCAUGCAUGAGGUCUUGGGUUCAAUGUCCAGUACCUCCA
rnacentral:tRNA from 1 species